rnacentral:rRNA from 1 species
UACGGAGGGAGCUAGCGUUAUUCGGAAUUACUGGGCGUAAAGCGCACGUAGGCGGUUACUCAAGUCAGAGGUGAAACUCGAGGAGCUCAACUCCAGAACUGCCUUCGAUACUGGAGAGUCUUCGAGUUCGGGAGAGGUGAGUGGAACUGCGAGUGUAGAGGUGAAAUUCGUAGAUAUUCGCAAGAACACCAGUGGCGAAGGCGGCUCACUGGCCCGAUACUGACGCUGAGGUGCGAAAGCGUGGGGAGCGAACAGG